rnacentral:rRNA from 1 species
CAUCCCAGUUCGGAUCGCAGGCUGCAACCCGCCUGCGUGAAGUUGGAAUCGCUAGUAAUCGCGGAUCAGCAUGCCGCGGUGAAUACGUUCCCGGGCCUUGUACACACCGCCCGUCACACCAUGAGAGUCGGGAACACCCGAAGUCCGUAGCCUAACCGCAAGGGGGCGCGGCCGAAGGUGGGUUCGAUAAUUGGGGUGAAGUCGUAACAAGGUAAC